CUCGCCCAGGCUCUCUGCCUCCAGCCAGCAGCCCCUGCCUCCACGUCGCGAUUUCCAUCGUGGGAAGGGAGGCCCCCGCCUCCGGAGGGCAAGGGGCUCUUUUGUUCACGAACUUCUUCCUCUUGGCUAGAAGGGCACCUGGCCCAACAGGUUCUCACAAUCUUUUCCAGCAAAUGUGGCAUCAACAGAAAGAGCUACUUGUCCACGGGCGGGUGCUCUCCAAGUCAUCUGUCAUCUACCAAGGACUCUGCCGUCUCCCUCUCCCACCCCUACAGCUUUAUCCUUUUUAAAGGCAUGUCCCUUAUAAACACACAUGGCUUGAACUGCUUUAACUUGACUAGCUUGAGAGUGUCUGUGUUUUAAAAAGCGUAUUUAACUUGUUUAUAUGUAUUGCCAUACUCCUAUAACUGGAACGCUGUCUGUCGACGCAUUUUGCGCUUUGUGUGGAUUAAGCCUGUUUCGCGUGCUUGUUCCUCGCCCUUUUACGCAGAUCGAUUCUGUUUUCCUGAGACGCGGCCUGACAGUCAUUAAGGACAUGGGCAGAGGCAGCCUUGAGUUCUAGCUCCAUCAUUUAUCAGCUGAGUGUUUUACGGCUUUGCUUCCUGGGGGCUCAGCUUCUCCAUCUGUAAAAUGGGUUACUUAUAACGCUUCACCAUGUUUGGGUGAAGAGUAAAUGGAUUAACAUCUGUCAUGUAUCUGCAGAGAACUAUACAAUUGUUGGCUCUCAUACUCAGCUUAUCUCCCUCUAUCACGUUGAUACAUUGUGUGUGUGUGUGUGUGUGUGUGUGUGCACAGAGAGUAUUAUUACUCUUGCAUUUUUAGCGCAUCUUUUAUUUUAUUUUUUAAAAAUUUUAUGGCUGCACCCAUGACAUGCGGCAGUUCCCAGGCCAGGGACUGGAUUUCAGCCACAGGUUGGACAACCCUGGAUCCUUUAAGCCACCACACCUGGCCGGGGAUCUAACCCACACCUCCACGGUGAACUGAGCUGCUGCAAUUGGAUUCUUAACCCACUGUGCCAUGGCGGGAAUGCCAGCGUAUCUUUCAUAAUAAGUCUGACACUAUUCGGUACCUUUAUCUUCCCCCCGAAUUUGACGCGGAUCGGUGUACCCUAACUUCCCUUUCCCACGGCACCCUUGGAUGGUGGUGGAUUGUUCCCUCAGCUGAAGUGGUUUUGGUCACCACCGGCAUCCUUUUCUUUCUUUUUUUUAGUGGUCUCUUUUAGGGCCUCACC
rnacentral:lncRNA from 1 species